GCCUGAUGCAGCAACGCCGCGUGUGCGAUGAAGGCCCUCGGGUCGUAAAGCACUUUUCUGAGAGAUGAGCAAGGACAGUAUCUCAGGAAUAAGUCUCGGCUAACUACGUGCCAGCAGCCGCGGUAAAACGUAGGAGGCAAGCGUUAUCCGGAUUCACUGGGCGUAAAGCGCGUGCAGGCGGUUCGGUAAGUUGGGUAUGAAAUCUCCUGGCUUAACUAGGAGAGGUUAUCCAAUACUACCGGACUUGAGAGUGGUAGAGGAAGAUGGAAUUCCCGGUGUAGUGGUGAAAUGCGUAGAUAUCGGGAGGAACACCAGUGGCGAAAGCGAUCUUCUGGACCAUUUCUGACGCUCAGACGCGAAAGCUAGGGUAGUAAACGGGAUUAGAGACCCCGGUAAUCCUAGCCGUAAACGAUGUAAACUUGGCGUCGGUGGCUUAAACACCAUCGGUGCCGCAGCUAACGCGAUAAGUUUACCGCCUGGGGACUACGAUCGCAAG
rnacentral:rRNA from 1 species